rnacentral:rRNA from 1 species
AUUGAACGCUGGCGGCAGGCCUAACACAUGCAAGUCGAACGGUAACAGGAAGCAGCUUGCUGCUUUGCUGACGAGUGGCGGACGGGUGAGUAAUGUCUGGGAAACUGCCCGAUGGAGGGGGAUAACUACUGGAAACGGUAGCUAAUACCGCAUAGCGUCGCAAGACCAAAGAGGGGGACCUUAGGGCCUCUUGCCAUCGGAUGUGCCCAGAUGGGAUUAGCUAGUAGGUGGGGUAACGGCUCACCUAGGCGACGAUCCCUAGCUGGUCUGAGAGGAUGACCAGCCACACUGGAACUGAGACACGGUCCAGACUCCUACGGGAGGCAGCAGUGGGGAAUAUUGCACAAUGGGCGCAAGCCUGAUGCAGCCAUGCCGCGUGUAUGAAGAAGGCCUUCGGGUUGUAAAGUACUUUCAGCGGGGAGGAAGGGAGUAAAGUUAAUACCUUUGCUCAUUGACGUUACCCGCAGAAGAAGCACCGGCUAACUCCGUG